rnacentral:rRNA from 1 species
GUCUGUACCCAAAGUCACUUUAGCCAACCUGCAAAGGAGGCGAGUGCCUAAGGUAUGGGGAUGAUUGGGGUGAAGUCGUAACAAGGUAGCUGUAGGUGAACCUGCAGAAGGAUCA